UACGUAGGUGGCAAGCGCUGUCCGGAAUUAUUGGGCGUAAAGCGCGCGCAGGCGGUUAUGUAAGUCUGAUGUUAAAGCCCGGGGCUCAACCUCGGUUCGCAUUGGAAACUGUGUAACUUGAGUGCAGAAGAGGAAAGUGGUAUUCCACGUGUAGCGGUGAAAUGCGUAGAGAUGUGGAGGAACACCAGUGGCGAGGGCGGCUUUCUGGUCUGUAACUGACGCGGGGGCACGAAAGCGUGGGGAGCAAACAGG
rnacentral:rRNA from 1 species